GCCCAGGUGGUGAAAUUGGUAGACAUACCACUUUGAGGGGGUGGCGCCGGUUGCGGUGUACGAGUUCGAAUCUCGUCCUGGGCA
rnacentral:tRNA from 1 species